UACGUAGGGUGCGAGCGUUGUCCGGAAUUAUUGGGCGUAAAGGGCGCGUAGGCGGCCUGACAAGUGGAAGGUGAAAUCCCUCGGCUUAACCGAGGAACUGCCCUCCAAACUGUUUGGCUUGAGACCGGGAGAGGUGAGUGGAAUUCCCAGUGUAGCGGUGAAAUGCGUAGAUAUUGGGAGGAACACCAGUGGCGAAGGCGGCUCACUGGACCGGUACUGACGCUGAGGCGCGAAAGCGUGGGGAGCAAAGCGGG
rnacentral:rRNA from 1 species